rnacentral:rRNA from 2 species
CAAAUGACUCCCGGCAAUGGAUAUCUCGGCUCUUGCAUCGAUGAAGAACGUAGUGAAAUGCGAUACUUGGUGUGAAUUGCAGAAUCUCGUGAACCAUUGAGUCUUUGAACGCAAGUUGUGCCCGAGGCCUUGUGGUCGAGGGCACGCCUGCUUGGGUGUCAUGAC